CCUACGGGAGGCAGCAGUGGGGAAUAUUGCACAAUGGGCGCAAGCCUGAUGCAGCAACGCCGCGUGAGGGACGACGGCCUUCGGGUUGUAAACCUCUUUUAGUAGGGAAGAAGCGAAAGUGACGGUACCUGCAGAAAAAGCACCGGCUAACUACGUGCCAGCAGCCGCGGUAAUACGUAGGGUGCAAGCGUUGUCCGGAAUUAUUGGGCGUAAAGAGCUCGUAGGCGGUUUGUCGCGUCUGCUGUGAAAACCCGAGGCUCAACCUCGGGCCUGCAGUGGGUACGGGCAGACUAGAGUGCGGUAGGGGAGAUUGGAAUUCCUGGUGUAGCGGUGGAAUGCGCAGAUAUCAGGAGGAACACCGAUGGCGAAGGCAGAUCUCUGGGCCGUAACUGACGCUGAGGAGCGAAAGCAUGGGGAGCGAACAGGAUUAGAUACCCUGGUAGUCCAUGCCGUAAACGUUGGGAACUAGAUGUAGGGACCAUUCCACGGUUUCUGUGUCGCAGCUAACGCAUUAAGUUCCCCGCCUGGGGAGUACGGCCGCAAGGCUAAAACUUAAAUGAAUUGACGG
rnacentral:rRNA from 1 species